AUUGAACGCUGGCGGCAUGCCUUACACAUGCAAGUCGAACGGCAGCGGGGGAGAAGCUUGCUUUUCCUGCCGGCGAGUGGCGAACGGGUGAGUAAUACAUCGGAACGUGCCCUGUAGUGGGGGAUAACUAGUCGAAAGAUUAGCUAAUACCGCAUACGACCUGAGGGUGAAAGUGGGGGACCGCAAGGCCUCAUGCUAUAGGAGCGGCCGAUGUCUGAUUAGCUAGUUGGUGGGGUAAAGGCCUACCAAGGCGACGAUCAGUAGCUGGUCUGGAAGGACCAUCAGCCACACUGGGACUGAGACACGGCCCAGACUCCUACGGGAGGCAGCAGUGGGGAAUUUUGGACAAUGGGCGAAAGCCUGAUCCAGCAAUGCCGCGUGUGUGAAGAAGGCCUUCGGGUUGUAAAGCACUUUUGUCCGGAAAGAAACGGCUCUGGUUAAUACCUGGGGUCGAUGACGGUACCGGAAGAAUAAGGACCGGCUAACUACGUGCCAGCCGCCGCCGUAA
rnacentral:rRNA from 1 species